AGUGAACGCUGGCGGUAGGCCUAACACAUGCAAGUCGAACGGCAGCACAGUAAGAGCUUGCUCUUACGGGUGGCGAGUGGCGGACGGGUGAGGAAUACAUCGGAAUCUACUUUUUCGUGGGGGAUAACGUAGGGAAACUUACGCUAAUACCGCAUACGACCUACGGGUGAAAGCAGGGGAUCUUCUGACCUUGCGCGAUUGAAUGAGCCGAUGUCGGAUUAGCUAGUUGGCGGGGUAAAGGCCCACCAAGGCGACGAUCCGUAGCUGGUCUGAGAGGAUGGUCAGCCACACUGGAACUGAGCCAGGGUCCAGACUCCUACGGGAGGCAGCAGUGGGGAAUAUUGGACAAUGGGCGCAAGCCUGAUCCAGCCAUACCGCGUGGGUGAAGAAGGCCUUCGGGUUGUAAAGCCCUUUUGUUGGGAAAGAAAAGCAGCAGGUUAAUACCCCGCUGUUCUGACGGUACCCAAAGAAUAAGCACCGGCUAACUUCGUC
rnacentral:rRNA from 1 species